rnacentral:pre_miRNA from 1 species
CGUGGCAGGGGUCAAGGUGUGGAUGCGGCAUGGGUGGCUAACCCCGCCCAUGCCCAGACCACGCUCCAGCCCCUGCCCCG